GAUGAACGCUAGCGGCAGGCUUAAUACAUGCAAGUCGAACGGGAUUCGGUGUAGCAAUACAUUGAUGAGAGUGGCGCACGGGUGCGUAACGCGUAUGCAACCUACCUUUAACAGGUGAAUAGCCCCGAGAAAUCGGGAUUAAUACACCGUAACAUUGCGGGAUGGCAUCAUUCUGCAAUUAAAGAUUUAUCGGUUAAAGAUGGGCAUGCGUGACAUUAGCUAGUUGGUGAGGUAACGGCUCACCAAGGCGACGAUGUCUAGGGGUCCUGAGAGGGUUAUCCCCCACACUGGUACUGAGACACGGACCAGACUCCUACGGGAGGCAGCAGUAAGGAAUAUUGGUCAAUGGGCGCAAGCCUGAACCAGCCAUGCCGCGUGCAGGAAGACGGCCCUAUGGGUUGUAAACUGCUUUUGUCAGGGAAUAAACCUGUCUACGAGUAGGCAGCUGAAGGUACCUGAAGAAUAAGCAUCGGCUAACUCCGUGCC
rnacentral:rRNA from 1 species